GAACACCGCGCCGGCUCGUACCCAUAUCCGCAGCAGGUCUCCAAGGUGAAUAGCCUCUAGUCGAUAGAAUAAUGUAGGUAAGGGAAGUCGGCAAACCCGAUCUGUAACUUCGGGAUAAGGAUUGGCUCUGAGGAUCGUGGCGCGCCGGGCUUGGUCGGGAAGUGGAGCGGUGCCAACGUGCCGGGCCUGGGCGAGGUGAAGG
rnacentral:rRNA from 1 species